rnacentral:rRNA from 1 species
UACGUAGGGUGCAAGCGUUGUCCGGAAUUAUUGGGCGUAAAGAGCUCGUAGGCGGUCUGUUGCGUCGGCUGUGAAAACCCGGGGCUCAACUCCGGGCCUGCAGCCGAUACGGGCAGACUAGAGUUCGGCAGGGGAGACUGGAAUUCCUGGUGUAGCGGUGAAAUGCGCAGAUAUCAGGAGGAACACCGGUGGCGAAGGCGGGUCUCUGGGCCGGUACUGACGCUGAGGAGCGAAAGCGUGGGGAGCGAACAGG